CUAGAUGACUCCCAUCCCAGAACAACUUCAUAUGGUCAUGUGGUGCUUUAUCUCCAGCCUCCUCCAAGACCUUUGCCAAUGGAUGGACUGUGAUGACGAAGGCAACGUUUUAAUUAGAUCCAUUCUUUUGAGGACGUGGACAGUACCGUUCUGUUAAAAAGGGAAAAGCUUUUAUUUUUUUUUUCUCCGACUUCUCCGGUCUCAUCAGAUGGGGAUGUGGCUCAGGCUCGCUUCUCCGGCUCGGACUGCAGGAGCUGUCCAGCUGCUAGAGGAGCGUCGCCGUCACCCGUCCAGCGACUCCGGCUUCUGAUUCGAAGCUUACCUGGAAGCAGGACUCGACAUGUCUUUAGGCCAGGCAUUUCAUCUUGUGCAGCUUCAAACCGGAGGGGCACGCCACCUCAGAGUCUACCAGAACCCACAGUGCAAAUGAACGAAAUUAAUCACAGAUUCAUAAAUUUCACAUUAUGUCAAAUUUGUCAUUGUUUUAAACAUACAAUUAAUUCUUGCAGUGAUUGGAAAAUUAUGCCAUACGGCGCUUCCUGCAAAAAAUCUCAAAAAUGCACAAUUUGUGAACUUGCUUCUUGCCAUUAAAGCCCAAAAGAGUUUA